rnacentral:tRNA from 1 species
GGUACCUUUGCCGAGUGGCUAGGCACCAGUCUGCAAAACUGGCUACGGCGGUUCGAAUCCGCCAGGUACCU